UCACGUGACACUCUCUGACGAAGGUGGAAGUUGCUGCCGAAACCGUCGGAAAUGUUCGAAGCCUUCAUAGAGCCAUGUGAGAUCAAGACACCAGACUGAGCCGUGCUUUGAAUCCGUGGCAAUGGGGCCGUUCAAUCACGCACCAGAGAGGAAGAAUGCCCUUGCGGAACGAACGAACAUUCCUUACACAAUAGCCACAGUUCAGGCAGAGCAACUCUAUUGUACAUUCAACACAAAGAACUUGAAGUGAGUCUCCGGAAGCUGUGAAUAUGGGUUACAGGCACUUCAGAAAUUCGGUGUAACAGUGGGAAUGUGAGAAGAGACAAGAACAUGCUGCUGUCUCCUGACCCAGCAAGCUGUUUUGAAUUCAAAAUUGCACAUCAGGGAUUUCACAGUACUCUGGAAAGUGUCUCUGGUGAGCAGUGUGACCAAUGAGGUGGGCGUGGCUUAUUCGCAGCGCACACAGGUGAGCAAUUGCUGGUUCUCAAUAUGAACAACGCUGAGGUGAACACACAAAAAAUGGUCUUCCUAAGGAUGUCCACAAGAACAUUCUUCCAAAGAAGCCUGAAAUACCCGACCAUGGCAUGACUGCAUAAAGGGCUGAGACAUCCCAUCUUCCUCAUUACCUCUAUCCCCAAGACCAUAUCUAUCCCAAGUGCCGCUGUACUGUGCAUCCAAAUGCUGAUGAUGAGGAAAUCCUGCCAACAAGUAAGGUUGAGUUCCUUAUUCUAUUUAAGGAGAGCAAGUGACUGUAUACUGGAAGGCAGAAGAAAGGGCUGAGGACAUUACAGAGGAGCAUUUUGAGGUCUUCUCUGUUGUGGAGAAGAUAGUUGACAGCAAAAGAAUAACAAGUGAAGAAGCAAUUCAAUGAGAAAUGUGAUGAGAUGAAGCAAAUUUAACAUAAUGACUUCUGUCUAAAUGCCAAAGAUAAACAAAUGGAACACAUUUAAA